rnacentral:misc_RNA from 1 species
UUUCCGUAGGUGAACCUGCGGAAGGAUCAUUGUCGAAACCUGCCCAGCAGAACGACCCGCGAACUUGUAUAAACAACCGGGGGCGGGGGGCGUUCUCGCCCCGUGCCCCCGAACGGCGGGGAGACACUCGUGCCUUCUUGCCGAACAACGUACCCCGGCGCGGUCUGCGCCAAGGAACUUCAACUAAAGAGUACCUCCGGUCGCCUCGGAAACGGCGUGCGUGCCGGGGGCGAAUCUCGUGCAAAACCAUAACGACUCUCGGCAACGGAUAUCUCGGCUCUC